rnacentral:tRNA from 2 species
GGCGGUGUGCCCGAGUGGCCAAAGGGAGCAGACUGUAAAUCUGCCGGCUCAGCCUUCCCAGGUUCGAAUCCUGGCGCCGCCACAA